AAAAAGAAAAAAGAAAAUGAAAAAUAUCGCGCUAUGAUGUAAACACACACACACACACACACACACACACACACACACAGUCAAGAGAGAGAGAGAGUGAGAGAGAGAGAGGUGUACUUACAAAAUGAAAUACACCACCUAAUGUUACGGGGUAGAACAAAAAAAAAAAUGUGAUAAAUAGCAAGGAAAAGUAAUAGACAAGUAACCUUUUUCUGUGUGUCAAUGAGGUAUUCAGACUCUCCUCUUCCUAGCGUGGCAAUUAACCUUUGAGUUACCCAUCAUUCACGACCCUGAGACAUGAAAAGGGAGAAAGGUAGGGAGAGAGAGAGAGGGUGGGGAAGGAGGAGCAGGCUGGGAGCAAGAGAACCUGGGGAGAGAGAGAGAGAGAGAGAGAGAGAGAGAGAGAGAGAGAGAGAGAGAGAGAGAGAGAGAGAGAGAGAGAGAAGGUGAGGAAGAGACUUACAACUUUGGAAUUGUCCGGGACCUCUUUUAUUUCAAACUUUUCCCUCCUUGACAAUGGACCAAAGGAGACUGUCACUUCGCCCCUCCUCUGUGGCCUAACUCGCGCCUCCCACACCCGGGAUGAAAUGAGCUGCGUCAGUAGUGUCAAUACUUCCCCAACUACCUCAGGACUGCUCCGCUGGACGAAACGCAGCCGGAGGAGGAGAGGGAGGCAGAGAAUGAGGAGGUGUGUGUGAAAGAAACUACAAUUAGAAGCUUACAAGGAAGAAAAAUAUUGGAAAACAUGACAAGAAGAAUGAAAUAAAGAUAGAAUUAGGAGGAAAGAAUAGCGUUAAAUGUGAUAGAUAGAAUUAGAAGCUAAAGAGGGAAAUUGAAGAAGGAAGGAGAGAAUAACGAAAAGCGUAAAAAGAUGUAGAAUUUGAAGUUUAGAAUAAAGAGAAGGAGAGGAAGACUAGAAAGAAGGGAAAGGAAAAGCAGAAAGAGCUGGAAUUAGAGGGAGUGAAGUUGGAAAAAAAGGAGCUAGUGAAAUAAAGAAGAGGAAGUUAAUGAGAGGUGAUGUGAUAAGAAGUAGUUUUAGAAGCACAGUAAGGAGAGGAAUGUGAGAAGAAGAAGAGAGGAAUAGAAGGCACAGAAAUCAAGAACAAAAGAAAACGUAGAGUAAAAUUUAAAAAAAAAACAGAAUUGAAUUUGAGGAUUGAGUAAAAGAAGACGAGUGGAUAAAAAAAAUAAGGAUUAACAUUUAGAGAAGAGGAAGGACAAAAGAGAAAUUUUAAAAAAAUGGGAAAGGAAAGGAAAGAU